AUACAGAGGGUGCGAGCGUUAAUCGGAAUUACUGGGCGUAAAGCGCGCGUAGGCGGUCUAUUAAGUCAGAUGUGAAAUCCCAGGGCUCAACCUUGGAACUGCAUCUGAUACUGGUAGACUAGAGUUUUGGAGAGGGAAGUAGAAUUUCAGGUGUAGCGGUGAAAUGCAUAGAUAUCUGAAGGAAUACCAGUGGCGAAGGCGGCUUCCUGGCCUAAAACUGACGCUGAGGUGCGAAAGCGUGGGUAGCAAACGGGAUUAGAUACCCCAGUAGUCC
rnacentral:rRNA from 1 species